UGAGUGGCGGACGGGUGAGUAACGCGUGGGUAACCUGCCUUAUGCAGGGGGAUAACAGUAGGAAACCAUCAGUAAUACCGCAUAAGUGCACAGUAUUGCAUGAUACAGUGUGAAAAAGUCCGGUGGUAUAAGAUGGACCCAAGUGGGAUUAGCUAGUUGGUGAGGUAACGGCUCACCAAGGCGACGAUCAGUAGCCGAUCUGAGAGGAUGAACGGCCACAUUGGGACUGAGACACGGCCCAGACUCCUACGGGAGGCAGCAGUGGGGAAUAUUGCACAAUGGGCGAAAGCCUGAUGCAGCGACGCCGCGUGAGCGAUGAAGUAUUUCGGUAUGUAAAGCUCUAUCAGCAGGGAAGAUAAUGACGGUACCUGACUAAGAAGCACCGGCUAAAUACGUGCCAGCAGCCGCGGUAAUACGUAUGGUGCAAGCGUUAUCCGGAUUUACUGGGUGUAAAGGGAGCGCAGGCGGUCUUGCAAGUCUGAUGUGAAAGCCCGGGGCUCAACCGCGGGAUUGCAUUGGAAACUGUAGGACUUGAGUAUCGGAGAGGUAAGUGGAAUUCCUAGUGUAGCGGUGAAAUGCGUAGAUAUUAGGAGGAACACCAGUGGCGAAGGCGG
rnacentral:rRNA from 1 species